UUGACCUCAAAUCGGGUGAGACUACCCGCUGAACUUAAGCAUAUCAAUAAGCGGAGGAAAGAACUAACAAGGAUUCCCCUAGUAACUGCGAGU
rnacentral:rRNA from 1 species